UAUCCUGGCUCAGGAUGAACGCUGGCGGCGUGCCUAACACAUGCAAGUCGAACGAAGCGCAUGCCUGGAACCCUCCGGGGGAAGGGCAUAUGACUGAGUGGCGGACGGGUGAGUAACGCGUGGGCAACCUGCCCCGCACUGGGGGACAACAGCCGGAAACGGCUGCUAAUACCGCAUAUGCGCACAGCUUUGCAUGAAGCAGUGUGGAAAACUCCGGUGGUGCGGGAUGGGCCCGCGUCUGAUUAGCUGGUUGGCGGGGCAACGGCCCACCAAGGCGACGAUCAGUAGCCGGCCUGAGAGGGUGGACGGCCACAUUGGGACUGAGACACGGCCCAGACUCCUACGGGAGGCAGCAGUGGGGGAUAUUGCACAAUGGGGGGAACCCUGAUGCAGCGAUGCCGCGUGAGCGAAGAAGUACCUCGGUAUGUAAAGCUCUAUCAGCAGGGAAGAAAAUGACGGUACCUGACUAAGAAGCCCCGGCUAAAUACGUG
rnacentral:rRNA from 1 species